rnacentral:misc_RNA from 1 species
GGAAGUAAAGUCGUAACAAGGUUUCCGUAGGUGAACCUGCGGAAGGAUCAUUAUUGUAUAACCGAGGUGCGAGGGCUGUCGCUGACCCGAAAGGUCGUGCACGCCCGAGUGCCCUCACACACAUCCAUCUCACCCCUAUGUGCACCACCGCGUGGGUCCCCCUUUGGCUUGUUCGGAGGGGGGCUUACGUCUUCACACAAACUUUGUAUGCAGUGUAGAAUGUAUUUUUUGUUUUUGCGAUCACGCAAUCAAUACAACUUUCAACAACGGAUCUCUUGGCUCUC